rnacentral:rRNA from 1 species
UGAGUAAUGCAUAAGAAUCUACCUAGUAGUAUGGGAUAGCCACUAGAAAUGGUGGGUAAUACUGUAUAAUCCCUGCGGGGGAAAGAUUUAUCGCUAUUAGAUGAGCCUAUGUUAGAUUAGCUAGUUGGUAGGGUAAAGGCCUACCAAGGCAGUGAUCUAUAGCUGGUCUGAGAGGAUGAUCAGCCACACUGGAACUGAGAUACGGUCCAGACUCCUACGGGAGGCAGCAGUGGGGAAUAUUGGACAAUGGGCGCAAGCCUGAUCCAGCUAUGCCGCGUGAGUGAGGAAGGCCUUAGGGUUGUAAAACUCUUUCAGUGGGGAAGAUAAUGACGGUACCCACAGAAAAAGUCCCGCCC